rnacentral:rRNA from 1 species
CGCGGGAUUGGCAAGGGGGGACGGGGUGCCGCAGGCGCGAAACCUCCUCAAUGCACUAACGUGCGAAGGGGUUACCUCGAGUGCUACCUGAAGAAGGUGGCUUUUCCUUGGUCUAAAAAGCCUCGGGAAUAAGAGGGGGGCAAGACUGGUGUCAGCCGCCGCGGUAACACCAGCCCCUCGAGUGGUGGGGAUGAUUAUUUGGCCUAAAGCGUCCGUAGCCGGCCGGGUAAGUUUCCCGUUAAAUCCAGCGUCUCAAGCGUUGGACUGCGGGAAAUACUGCCUGGCUAGAGAGUGGGAGAGGUCAGCGGUAUUCUGGGGGUAGGGGCGAAAUCCUUUGAUCCCCGGAGGACCACCAGUGGCGAAGGCUGCUGACUAGAACACGUCUGACGGUCAGGGACGAAAGCUGGGGUAGCGAACCGGAUUAGAUACCCGGGUAGUCCCAGCCGUAAACGAUGCAUGCUAGGUGUUGGGUUGGCCACGAGCCACCCCAGUGCCGCAGGGAAGCCGUUAAGCAUGCCGCCUGGGAAGUACGAUCGCAAGAUUGAAACUUAAAGGAAUUGGCGGGGGAGCACCACCAGGCGUGAAGCCUGCGGUUUAAUUGGAGUCAACGCCGGGAACCUUACCGGAAGCGACAGCAGAGUGAAGGCCAGAUUGAAGAUCUUGCCAGACGAGCUGAGAGGAGGUGCAUGGCCGUCGCCAGUUCGUGCCGUGAGGUGUUCUCUUAAGUGAGAUAACGAACGAGACCCGCGCCACAUGUUGCCAUCAGAAUCUAAAGGAUUGCUGGGCACUCUUGUGGGACCGCAGUCGAUAAGGCUGAGGAAGGGGCGGGCAACGGCAGGUCAGUAUGCCCCGAAUCUUCCGGGCCACACGCGGGCUGCAAUGGUAUGGACAGAGGGCUGCCACCCCGAAAGGGGGAGCCAAUCCCUAAACCAUACCUCAGUUGGGAUUGAGGGCUGCAACCCGCCCUCAUGAACAUGGAAUGCCUAGUAACUGCCAGUCAUCAUCUGGCGGUGAAUACGUCCCUGCUCCUUGCACGAAUUCGCCGAAUCACUAGU